rnacentral:rRNA from 1 species
AAUAUUGGUCAAUGGGUGCAAGCCUGAACCAGCCAUGCCGCGUGCAGGAAGAAGGCCUUCUGGGUUGUAAACUGCUUUUGCCAGGGGAUAAAAUGACCAUGCGUGGUUAAUUGAAGGUACCUGGUGAAUAAGCCACGGCUAACUACGUGCCAGCAGCCGCGGUAAGACGUAGGAGGCGAGCGUUAUCCGGAUUCACUGGGCGUAAAGCGCAUGUAGGCGGUUGAUUAAGUCCGUUGUUAAAGCCCCUGGCUCAACUGGGGGAGGUCAAUGGAGACUAUUCGACUUGAGGGCAACAGAGGCACAUGGAACUCCCGGUGUAGCGGUGGAAUGCGUAGAGAUCGGGAAGAACACCCGUGGCGAAGGCGGUGUGCUGGGUUGCAACUGACGCUGAGAUGCGAAAGUGUGGGGAGCAAAC